GACGAACGCUGGCGGCGUGCUUAACACAUGCAAGUCGAACGGAAAGGCCCUGCUCUUGUGGGGUGCUCGAGUGGCGAACGGGUGAGUAACACGUGAGUAACCUGCCCUUGACUUUGGGAUAACUUCAGGAAACUGGGGCUAAUACCGGAUAGGAGCUCCUGCUGCAUGGUGGGGGUUGGAAAGUUUCGGCGGUUGGGGAUGGACUCGCGGCUUAUCAGCUUGUUGGUGGGGUAGUGGCUUACCAAGGCUUUGACGGGUAGCCGGCCUGAGAGGGUGACCGGCCACAUUGGGACUGAGAUACGGCCCAGACUCCUACGGGAGGCAGCAGUGGGGAAUAUUGCACAAUGGGCGGAAGCCUGAUGCAGCAACGCCGCGUGCGGGAUGACGGCCUUCGGGUUGUAAACCGCUUUCGCCUGUGGCGAAGCGUGAGUGACGGUAAUGGGUAAAGAAGCACCGGCUAACUACGUG
rnacentral:rRNA from 1 species